rnacentral:rRNA from 1 species
GAAGAAGGGCGCACGGUGAAUGCCUUGGCACUGGAAGCCGAUGAAGGACGCGACUAACCGCGAAAGUCUUCGGGGAGCCGUAAGUAGGCUUUGAUCCGGAGGUCUCCGAAUGGGGGAACCCAGCAUGUGCAGACAUGCUAUCCUUAAGUGAAUACAUAGCUUAAGGAGGGAACACGCAGUGAACUGAAACAUCUAAGUAGCUGCAGGAAGAGAAAGAAAUAUCGAUUUCCCAAGUAGCGGCGAGCGAACAGGAAAGAGCCCAAACCGGCAGAUUUAUCUGCCGGGGUUGUAGGACUGAGACAUGGCACUUCAGAGGAUAGCAGAAGCGUUUGGGAAAGCGCGCCAGAGAGGGUGAGAGCCCCGUAAGCGAAAUCCAAAGAAGGCCUAUCAGUAUCCUGAGUAGGGCGGGACACGUGAAAUCCCGUUUGAAUCCGCGAGGACCAUCUCGCAAGGCUAAAUACUAACCAGUGACCGAUAGUGAACCAGUACCGUGAGGGAAAGGUGAAAAGAACCCCGGGAGGGGAGUGAAAGAGAACCUGAAACCGUGUGCCUACAAGUAGUCAGAGCCCGUUAACGGGUAAUGGCGUGCCUUUUGUAGAAUGAACCGGCGAGUUGCGUUAGUCAGCAAGGUUAAGUCAGAAAAGACGGAGCCGUAGCGAAAGCGAGUCUGAAGAGGGCGAGCAGUUGGCUGACGCAGACCCGAAACCAAGUGACCUACCCAUGACCAGGUUGAAGGCGCGGUAAAACGCGCUGGAGGACCGAACCCACGUAAGUUGAAAAUUGCGGGGAUGAGUUGUGGGUAGCGGUGAAAUUCCAAACGAACUUGGAGAUAGCUGGUUCUCUCCGAAAUAGCUUUAGGGCUAGCCUCGCAAAGAGGAUGCUGGAGGUAGAGCUCUGUUUGGACUAGGGGCCCGUCAAGGGUUACUGAAUUCAGAUAAACUGCGAAUUCCAGACAUUUAUGUGCGGGAGUCAGACUGCGAGUGAUAAGAUCCGUAGUCGAAAGGGAAACAGCCCAGAUCACCAGUUAAGGUCCCAAAAUUCAUGCUAAGUGGAAAAGGAUGUGGAGUUGCGCAGACAACUAGGACGUUGGCUCAGAAGCAGCCAUCAUUCAAAGAGUGCGUAAUAGCUCACUAGUCGAGUGACGCCGCGCCGAAAAUUUACCGGGGCUAAGCAUGAUACCGAAACUGUGGAUGUGCGUUUAUGCACGUGGUAGGAGAGCGUUCUAGCGGCGGUGAAGCAUGACCGAGAGGACAUGUGGAGCUUCUAGAAGUGAGAAUGCCGGUAUGAGUAACGAAAGACAGGUGAGAAUCCUGUCCGCCGCAAGACUAAGGUUUCCUGGGGCAGGCUCGUCCGCCCAGGGUAAGUCGGGACCUAAGGCGAGGCCGAGAGGCGUAGUCGAUGGACAACAGGUUGAAAUUCCUGUACUGCACCGAAUCGUUAUGAGCGAUGGAGGGACGCAGGAGGCUAGCAGCGCGUGGUGCUGGAUACCACGUUCAAGCGUCAAGUCUGAGAGCGAGUCAAAUGCUUGCUCUCAUAAGGACAAGGCGUGAUGAGGAGCGAAAUUAAAGUAGCGAAGG